rnacentral:rRNA from 1 species
UCAGGAUGAACGCUGGCGGCGUGCUUAACACAUGCAAGUCGAACGAUGAUCUCCAGCUUGCUGGGGGGAUUAGUGGCGAACGGGUGAGUAACACGUGAGUAACCUGCCCUUAACUCUGGGAUAAGCCUGGGAAACUGGGUCUAAUACCGGAUAUGACUGAUCAUCGCAUGGUGGUUGGUGGAAAGCUUUUUGUGGUUUUGGAUGGACUCGCGGCCUAUCAGCUUGUUGGUGAGGUAAUGGCUUACCAAGGCGACGACGGGUAGCCGGCCUGAGAGGGUGACCGGCCACACUGGGACUGAGACACGGCCCAGACUCCUACGGGAGGCAGCAGUGGGGAAUAUUGCACAAUGGGCGAAAGCCUGAUGCAGCGACGCCGCGUGAGGGAUGACGGCCUUCGGGUUGUAAACCUCUUUCAGUAGGGAAGAAGCGAAAGUGACGGUACCUGCAGAG